rnacentral:rRNA from 1 species
CUUUCAGUUUUAAUUAAACAUACACAUGCAAGUCUCCCGCUCCAGUGAAAAUGCCCUUUAUCUUCCUCUAUUAGAAGAAAAGGAGUUGGUAUCAGGCUCAAAUAGCCCAAGACACCUAGCUCAGCCACACCUCCAAAGGACUUCAGCAGUGAUUAACAUUAAAUAUUAGCGCAAGCUAAAUUUAGUUAUAAUUUUUAUGGUCGGUUAAUUUCGUGCCAGCCACCGCGGUUAUACGAAAGACUUAAACUGGUAGCCACCGGCGUAAAGCGUGAUUAGGGGUAAAUGUUCUAUAAAGCUAAACUCUGAUAUAAUUGUUAUAAGUUUUUAUCAGCGGGAAACUCAAUAACGAAAGUAGCUUUAUUAUACCUGACUUCACGGUAGCCAAGACCCAAACUGGGAUUAGAUACCCCACUAUGCUUGGCCCUAAACUUUGAUAAUUACUAUUCAU